GGCGUAGCUCAGUUGGUAGAGCCCCGGGUUGUGAUCCUGGUGGUCGUGGGUUCGAGUCCCAUCGUC
rnacentral:tRNA from 1 species